AUUGAACGCUGGCGGCAGGCCUAACACAUGCAAGUCGAACGAGUGGCGGACGGGUGAGUAAUGUCUGGGAAACUGCCUGAUGGAGGGGGAUAACUAAUGGAAACGGUAGCUAAUACCGCAUACCAUCAGAUGUGCCCAGAUGGGAUUGGCUUGUUGGUGGGGUAACGGCGCACCAAGUCGACGACCCGUAGCUGGUCUAAGAGGAUGACCAGCCAAACUGGAACUGAUACACGGUCCAGACUCCUACGGGAGGCAGCAGUGGGGAAUAUUGCGCAAUGGGCGCAAGCCUGAUGCAGCCAUGCCGCGUGUAUGAAGAAGGCCUUAGGGUUGUAAAGUACUUUCAGCGGGGAGGCGUUACCCGCAGAAGAAGCACCGGCUAACUCCGUGCCAGCAGCCGCGGUAAUUC
rnacentral:rRNA from 1 species